GAGAGAAUUGUUUGGUUCUCCAAGAGGCGACUGACUGGCUGUAAUGAAGUGUCGCGUUUAGUCUAAGUAUCUGGACAACAAAGGCGUGAACACUCGACACUUGGCAAACAUUACAGUCAAGGCGCAGAAACAUGCAGAGACUUUAUAGUACUUCAGUGGCCUCAGAAAUGCAUGUAACACGAUGCAUGCAUUGGCUUACCUCCUACCACAAGAUAAAGAGUUCAUAAACUCUUAAUCGGGCUCACAAAGGACACCACUGGACACCUCUGACCCCUUGACACUCAGAGAUUUGGCUUUCAUGAUGCAAUGCAUAGAGUGGCCUUCUGAUGCUGAAGACAAGUUUCUGGCUGCAAAGGAAUCCCACACUUCAUUUGGCGAGGUUCAGCGACACCUGAAAUUCAUCUUCCCUGCCU